UACGUAGGGCGCAAGCGUUGUCCGGAAUUAUUGGGCGUAAAGAGCUCGUAGGCGGCCAGUUACGUCCGCUGUGAAAUCCCGGGGCUCAACCCCGGGCGUGCAGUGGAUACGGGCUGGCUGGAGGCAGGCAGGGGAGAACGGAAUUCCUGGUGUAGCGGUGAAAUGCGCAGAUAUCAGGAGGAACACCGGUGGCGAAGGCGGUUCUCUGGGCAUUACCUGACGCUGAGGAGCGAAAGCGUGGGGAGCAAACAGG
rnacentral:rRNA from 1 species